rnacentral:rRNA from 1 species
AAACCGUUGAAAGGGAAGCGAAUGGAGUUAGCAAUUCGCCCCGCCRGAUUCAGUAGCUCGCRCRUCGCGACGCAGCGCUCUCGAUCCGCAKGGACGAGACGUGUGCGGGUGCGAUGUGCGGUCUGCGCAYUUCUGGCGGGCGAGCGUCASCGUCGGUUGUCSACGGGCRACAAAKGACACGARGARGGUGGACUGGCCUUURCGGGUUGGUUGUUUAUWKCCUUGUGCUCGCAUARCCCRACKGCSACGGUGGCUCGKCKACGCGUGCCUGGCUGGUGACCCGAAYGAUCGGUCCGGCAUGUCGACCGUGGCGGACGGCACKCCYGUGCGCUCAAACCGCUGCCGGUCGAUCGGACGAUGUUCACACACAACGCGUCGAAGAUGCUGACGGCCWUACGGCUCCAUCCGACCCGUCUUGAAACACGGACCAAGGAGUSUAACAUGUGYGCGAGUCUCCGGGUGAUCGAAACCCGUGGGCACAAUGAAAGUAAAGAUCRUCCUAGACGWUUGAGGUGAGAAGCGAACGCCUCUCUCCGGGGUUGUKUGCGGCAUCAUCGACCGACCUAUUCUGCUCUCAGAAAGGUUUGAGUAAGAGCGUAUCUGUUGGGACCCGAAAGAUGGUGAACUAUGCC